UACGGAAGAAGCAAGCGUUAUCCGGAAUUACUGGGCGUAAAGAGUUGCGUAGGCGGCAUGAUAAGUCAGCAGUGAAAGCGUGGGGCUCAACCCCAUAUCCAUUGUUGAAACUGUCAAGCUAGAGGAUGAGAGAGGUUAUUGGAAUUCCCAGUGUAGGAGUGAAAUCCGUAGAUAUUGGGAGGAACACCAGUGGCGAAGGCGGCUCACUGGCCCGAUACUGACGCUGAGGCACGAAAGCGUGGGGAGCAAACAGG
rnacentral:rRNA from 1 species